AGGGUUCGAUUAUGGCUCAGGAUGAACGCUGGCGGCGUGCUUAACACAUGCAAGUCGAACGAACCUUCGGGUUAGUGGCGGACGGGUGAGUAACGCGUGAGAAUCUGCCCUCAGGAGGGGGAUAACGGUUGGAAACGACCGCUAAUACCCCAUAUGCCUACUGGUGAAACGAAUUUCGCCUGAGGAUGAGCUCGCGUCUGAUUAGCUAGUUGGUGAGGUAAUGGCUCACCAAGGCUUCGAUCAGUAGCUGGUCUGAGAGGAUGAUCAGCCACACUGGGACUGAGACACGGCCCAGACUCCUACGGGAGGCAGCAGUGGGGAAUUUUCCGCAAUGGGCGAAAGCCUGACGGAGCAACGCCGCGUGAGGGACGAAGGCCUCUGGGCUGUAAACCUCUUUUCUCAAGGAAGAAGAUAUGACGGUACUUGAGGAAUAAGCCACGGCUAAUUCCGUGCCAGCAGCCGCGGUAAUACGGGAGUGGCAAGCGUUAUCCGGAAUUAUUGGGCGUAAAGCGUCCGCAGGCGGCUUUUCAAGUCUGCUGUUAAAGCGUGGAGCUUAACUCCAUCAUGGCAGUGGAAACUGAAAGGCUUGAGUAUGGUAGGGGCAGAGGGAAUUCCCGGUGUAGCGGUGAAAUGCGUAGAUAUCGGGAAGAACACCAGUGGCGAAGGCGCUCUGCUGGGCCAUUACUGACGCUCAUGGACGAAAGCCAGGGGAGCGAAAGGGAUUAGAUACCCCUGUAGUCCUGGCCGUAAACGAUGAACACUAGGUGUCGGGGGAAUCGACCCCUUCGGUGUCGUAGCUAACGCGUUAAGUGUUCCGCCUGGGGAGUACGCACGCAAGUGUGAAACUCAAAGGAAUUGACGGGGGCCCGCACAAGCGGUGGAGUAUGUGGUUUAAUUCGAUGCAACGCGAAGAACCUUACCAGGGUUUGACAUCCUGCGAACCUCUUAGAAAUUUGAGGGUGCCUUCGGGAAUGCAGUGACAGGUGGUGCAUGGCUGUCGUCAGCUCGUGUCGUGAGAUGUUGGGUUAAGUCCCGCAACGAGCGCAACCCACGUUUUUAGUUGCCAGCAUUUAGUUGGGCACUCUAGAAAGACCGCCGGUGAUAAACCGGAGGAAGGUGUGGAUGACGUCAAGUCAUCAUGCCCCUUACACCCUGGGCUACACACGUACUACAAUGCUACGGACAAAGGGCAGCAAACUCGCGAGAGCUAGCAAAUCCCAUAAACCGUGGCUCAGUUCAGAUCGUAGGCUGCAACUCGCCUACGUGAAGUAGGAAUCGCUAGUAAUCGCAGGUCAGCAUACUGCGGUGAAUACGUUCCCGGGCCUUGUACACACCGCCCGUCACACCAUGGAAGUUGGCCAUGCCCGAAGUCGUUACUCCAACCCUUGUGGAGGAGGACGCCGAAGGUGGGGCUAAUGACUGGGGUGAAGUCGUAACAAGGUAGCC
rnacentral:rRNA from 1 species